AAAAAUUACAGCGGGAAACAAAUAAUUGCAGACAAAAUUAAGAAAAUGCAUAUCAAAUUUGGAACACAAGUUCUUAGUGGAACCAUGGCUAGUGUCAUUGAAACAUUGGCAAAAUCAAAUUGGUGUAAAAAAUUGGUAGUUAAAAUUGAUAGCCUUGUAGCUUGAGUCACCUUUGCAGUAGGUUGCGCAUCUCAUUGUCAGAUUAAAGCUAUUAUCGGCGUCCUCAGCUACUAUAUCGGCUGCUGCUACUCGGCCCUAACAUGUGAUGUAUCCCACCACUGCCACCAGAUUUGUUGUACCGUAUCUUUACGGCACUGAGUUUUGGACAACCAUAGAUGAAAGCGAGGAUUAUAAUAAUAAUGUUCACAUUUAUUCUGUAUUAUAAUACUUUACAAAAUACAUCUUUUAUUCGCUUAAGAUGAUUUCUCUUUAGUACAUUCCACCAAACUCC